CUUUACUGGCCGCCGGGGGGCUCACGCCCCCGGGCCCGCGCCCGCCGAAGACACCCCCGAACUCUGUCUGAAGAUUGAAGUCUGAGUGAAAAUAUAAAUUAUUUAAAACUUUCAACAACGGAUCUCUUGGUUCCGGCAUCGAUGAAGAACGCAGCGAAAUGCGAUACGUAAUGUGAAUUGCAAAUUCAGUGAAUCAUCGAGUCUUUGAACGCACAUUGCGCCCCCUGGUAUUCCGGGGGGCAUGCCUGUCCGAGCGUCAUUGCUGCCCUCAAGCCCGGCUUGUGUGUUGGGCCCCGUCCUCCGAUUCCGGGGGACGGGCCCGAAAGGCAGCGGCGGCACCGCGUCCGGUCCUCGAGCGUAUGGGGCUUUGUCACCCGCUCUGUAGGCCCGGCCGGCGCUUGCCGAUCAACCCAAAUUUUUAUCCAGGUUGACCUCGGAUCAGGUAGGGAUACCCGCUGAACUUAAGCAUAUC
rnacentral:rRNA from 1 species